UACGAAGGGGACUAGCGUUGUUCGGAAUUACUGGGCGUAAAGCGCACGUAGGCGGAUUUUCAAGUCAGGGGUGAGAUCCCGGGGCUCAACCUCGGAACUGCCUUUGAUACUGGAGAUCUCGAGUCCGGAAGAGGUGGGUGGAAUUCCUAGUGUAGAGGUGAAAUUCGUAGAUAUUAGGAAGAACACCGGUGGCGAAGGCGGCCCACUGGUCCGGUACUGACGCUGAGGUGCGAAAGCGUGGGGAGCAAACAGG
rnacentral:rRNA from 1 species